rfam:Ipomoea nil DNA, scaffold: scaffold1074, cultivar: Tokyo-kokei standard.
GUUGUUAUGGUGUAGUGGUUAUCACGUCAGUCUUACACACUGAAGGUCCCCAGUUUAAUCCUGGGCAGCAACA